UGAAAUUAUUUUUCGGAAUUCCGUACAUCGCCAUAGAGUAGUUGAAAAACAAAAAGGGGUUCCGAAAGUACAAGUUGUUGCUGUGACUGAAUCGAUGAUUGAGAGGGUCGUCUCGACGAAAGAUAUAGAAAUUUGGCCAUAGUUUAGAUUAGUAAUACAUCAAUGUAAUAAUAGUGGACUAAAUGUUUCGUCCGUGCAGAAUGGCACUUUUUACCUCACGAAAUUCACCACCAUGCAUAGCUGCGCUACGUAAACAAAGUUGUUGAUGUAGCGUGAUCGUGAUGUCCGAGUGCUGCGAGUUUCAAUACUGUUUAUGUAGUCAUUGAGAGUUUAAACAAAGUUUCUUCUGAGAAGAGGAAUUCGAUGGAUGCAUUCAAUGUGGACAACGAAAUCAUAAUUUCGUUUGGCAUCAUCCUAAGGACCAGUGCAAGUUGAAAUGGGCUUCCAACCAACAACUUCAACAGCAAUUUGCCAUGAAAAUCAGCAAGAAAGGUACUUCAUUUACAUUGAUGAUGUCAUAUCCCCUGGACCCCACAACUUUACAGGUUACAGAGAAAAUUCAAGAACUUCUGCACAAUGUGGGACUCGGAUAGAAUCAAUAAUGUAUUUGUGAGCCCAGAUAUAUUGUGCAA